rnacentral:rRNA from 1 species
UCGUACGAUACCGUCAGUGCCCUACACGUAGGGCUUUUUCUUCUCGUACAAAAGCAGUUUACAACCCAUAGGGCAUUCAUCCUGCACGCGGUAUGGCUGGGUCAGACUUGCGUCCCAUUGCCCAAUAUUCCUC